rnacentral:rRNA from 1 species
UACUAGAGUAGCACUCGCAUAUCAAUAAGCGGAGGAAAAGAAACUAACAAGGAUUCCCCUAGUAACGGCGAGUGAAGCGGGAAGAGCUCAAAUUUGAAAUCUUAAAGGGUUUCCCUUUACGAAUUGUAGUUUAAAGAAGUGUUUUCUGUUGAGGUUUUGGUAAAAGUUCUUUGGAAUAGGACAUCAUAGAGGGUGAGAAUCCCGUAUUUGACCUUUACUUUCAACUUUGUGAUACACCUUCAAAGAGUCGGAUUGUUUGGGAAUGCAGUCCAAAAUGGGUGGUAAAUUUCAUCUAAAGCUAAAUAUUGGCGAGAGACCGAUAGCGAACAAGUACCGUGAGGGAAAGAUGAAAAGAACUUUGAAAAGAGAGUUAAGCAGUACGUGAAAUUGUCAAAAGGGAAGCGUUUGACACCAGUGUUGUUUUUCUGAAAAUCAAUUAAAGAACUGUUUAUGCUAAGCUGUUUAGACUUUAUCAGCUAUCUGUUUAGUUUUAGGCUUUUCUUUAAUGCACUUUUCAGUUAACAAGUCAACAUCAAUUUCUUUUGCUGUAAAAAAGCUUGAGGAAGGUGGCUUGAGAUUCGUCUUAAGUGUUUAUAGCCUCUUGCCUAUGCAGUCGGAGAGAUUGAGGUCUGCAGCGUAGAUCCUUCGGGGCUAAAUGCAUUUGUGCUAAGUUAUAGCAUUUUAUAGACAACUUGUUGACUAUGAUUUGUCUUGUAGCUUACUCGCUCAUGUUAUUUUACCUACGCUUAGGAUGUUGAGCGCAUGUCUCUCUCU